rnacentral:rRNA from 1 species
AUGAACGCUGGCGGCGUGCCUAAUCCCUGCAAGUCGCGCGAACGGACGAGAAGCUUGCUUCUCUGAUGUUAGCGGCGGACGGGUGAGUAACACGUGGAUAACCUACCUAUAAGACUGGGAUAACUUCGGGAAACCGGAGCUAAUACCGGAUAAUAUUUUGAACCGCAUGGUUCAAAAGUGAAAGACGGUCUUGCUGUCACUUAUAGAUGGAUCCGCGCUGCAUUAGCUAGUUGGUAAGGUAACGGCUUACCAAGGCAACGAUGCAUAGCCGACCUGAGAGGGUGAUCGGCCACACUGGAACUGAGACACGGUCCAGACUCCUACGGGAGGCAGCAGUAGGGAAUCUUCCGCAAUGGGCGAAAGCCUGACGGAGCAACGCCGCGUGAGUGAUGAAGGUCUUCGGAUCGUAAAACUCUGUUAUUAGGGAAGAACAUAUGUGUAAGUAACUGUGCACAUCUUGACGGUACCUAAUCAGAAAGCCACGGCUAACUACGU